rnacentral:rRNA from 1 species
GACGAACGCUGGCGGCGUGCUUAACACAUGCAAGUCGAACGGAAAGGCCCUGCUUUUGUGGGGUGCUCGAGUGGCGAACGGGUGAGUAACACGUGAGUAACCUGCCCUUGACUUUGGGAUAACUUCAGGAAACUGGGGCUAAUACCGGAUAGGAGCUCCUGCUGCAUGGUGGGGGUUGGAAAGUUUCGGCGGUUGGGGAUGGACUCGCGGCUUAUCGGCUUGUUGGUGGGGUAGUGGCUUACCAAGGCUUUGACGGGUAGCCGGCCUGAGAGGGUGACCGGCCACAAUGGGACUGAGAUACGGCCCAGACUCCUACGGGAGGUAGCAGUGGGGAAUAUUGCACAAUGGGCGGAAGCCUGAUGCAGCAACGCCGCGUGCGGGAUGACGGCCUUCGGGGUGUAAACCGCUUUCGCCUGUGACGAAGCGUGAGUGACGGUAAUGGGUAAAGAAGCACCGGCUAACUACGUG